AUUGAACGCUGGCGGAAUGCUUUACACAUGCAAGUCGAGCGGCAGCGCGGGGCUACCUGGCGGCGAGCGGCGAACGGGUGAGUAAUACAUCGGAACGUGCCCAGACGUGGGGGAUAACUACUCGAAAGAGUGGCUAAUACCGCAUACGAUCUAAGGAUGAAAGCGGGGGAUCGCAAGACCUCGCGCGUUUGGAGCGGCCGAUGGCAGAUUAGGUAGUUGGUGGGGUAAGGGCUUACCAAGCCCGCGAUCUGUAGCUGGUCUGAGAGGAUGAUCAGCCACACUGGGACUGAGACACGGCCCAGACUCCUACGGGAGGCAGCAGUGGGGAAUUUUGGGACAAUGGGCGAAAGCCUGAUCCAGCCAUUCCGCGUGCAGGAUGAAGGCCCUCGGGUUGUAAACUGCUUUUGUACAGAACGAAAAGACUCUUUCUAAUACAGAGAGUCCAUGACGGUACUGUAAGAAUAAGCACCGGCGUAACUACGUGCCAGCAGCCGCGGUAA
rnacentral:rRNA from 1 species